rnacentral:snRNA from 1 species
UUGCUUCAGCAGCACAAACACUAAAAUUGGAAUGACACAAAGAUUAGCAUGGCCCCUGCACGAGGAUGACACCCAAACUGGUGAAGUGCUCCAUAUUUGG